UACGGAGGGGGCUAGCGUUGUUCGGAAUUACUGGGCGUAAAGCGCGCGUAGGCGGACCUGCAAGUCGGGGGUGAAAGCCCGAGGCUCAACCUCGGAACUGCCUUCGAUACUGCGGGUCUCGAGUCCGGGAGAGGUGAGUGGAAUUCCUAGUGUAGAGGUGAAAUUCGUAGAUAUUAGGAAGAACACCAGGGGCGAAGGCGGCUCACUGGCCCGGUACUGACGCUGAGGCGCGAAAGCGUGGGGAGCAAACAGG
rnacentral:rRNA from 1 species